rnacentral:rRNA from 1 species
UGGGGAACAUUGGACAAUGGGGGCAACCCUGAUCCAGCCAUGCCGCGUGUGUGAAGAAGGCCUUUUGGUUGUAAAGCACUUUAAGCAGGGAGGAGAGGCUAAUGGUUAAUACCCAUUAGAUUAGACGUUACCUGCAGAAUAAGCACCGGCUAACUCUGUGCCAGCAGCCGCGGUAAUACAGAGGGUGCGAGCGUUAAUCGGAAUUACUGGGCGUAAAGCGAGUGUAGGUGGCUCAUUAAGUCACAUGUGAAAUCCCCGGGCUUAACCUGGGAACUGCAUGUGAUACUGGUGGUGCUAGAAUACGUGAGAGGGAAGUAGAAUUCCCAGGUGUAGCGGUGAAAUGCGUAGAGAUCUGGAGGAAUACCGAUGGCGAAGGCAGCUUCCUGGCAUAAUAUUGACACUGAGAUUCGAAAGCGUGGGUAGCAAACAGGAUUAGAUACCCUGGUAGUCCACGCCGUAAACGAUGUCUACUAGCCGUUGGGGUCCUUGAGACUUUAGUGGCGCAGUUAACGCGAUAAGUAGACCGCCUGGGGAGUGACGGCCG